rnacentral:rRNA from 1 species
AACGAACGCUGGCGGCGUGGAUUAGGCAUGCAAGUCGAACGAGAUUCUGCCUUACAAGUCUUCGGAUGAGUAAGGUAGAUGACAGUGGCGAAAGGGUGAGUAAUGCGUGGGUAAUCUGCCUUUAAGUUUGGGAUACCCCUGCGAAAGACGGGGUUAAGUACCGGAGUGUGGUGAGUCUUCGCAUGAAGAAUGAAUCCAAAGGACGGGCGGCAAGCCUGUCACUUAAAGAAUGAGCCCACCGUCCUAUCAGCUUGUUGGUGAGGUAACGGCUCACCAAGGCUUACGGGUAGGCUGGUCGUGAGAGGAUGGUCAGCCACACUGGGACUGAGACACUGCCCACGACUCCUACGGGAGGCU